rnacentral:lncRNA from 1 species
ACCGAUUUUUAAUUUACAAAUUACGCACAACAAAAGAAGAUAAUGGCGUUUAAGACUUAGUUUGGUAUUGAGAUUCAUCUAACGCUAUUAGAUAGAAUGGAGUUGAGAAAAAGUAUAUAGAAAUAUAUUUCUGCGUUCUCCAAUAGUAUCGCAGAAAAUAUAUCGUAACUGACUAACCGCAAUAUACGAAACGUAAUAUUACGUACGGAAACAAACAUAAUAUUUUUGCAUCGUCGUUUCUCACCGCACGUGCCUCAUUUUCUCUCUCUCCCAUUACUAUACUCGAAUUCAAAAGUU